GACGAACGCUGGCGGCGUGCUUAACACAUGCAAGUCGAACGGAAAGGCCCUGCUUUUGUGGGGUGCUCGAGUGGCGAACGGGUGAGUAACACGUGAGUAACCUGCCCUUGACUUUGGGAUAACUUCAGGAAACUGGGGCUAAUACCGGAUAGGAGCUCCUGCUGCAUGGUGGGGGUUGGUAAGUUUCGGCGGUUGGGGAUGGACUCGCGGCUUAUCAGCUUGUUGGUGGGGUAGUGGCUUACCAAGGCUUUGACGGGUAGCCGGCCUGAGAGGGUUACCGGCCACAUUGGGACUGAGAUACGGCCCAGACUCCUACGGGAGGCAGCAGUGGGGAAUAUUGCACAAUGGGCGGAAGCCUGAUGCAGCAACGCCGCGUGCGGGAUGACGGCCUUCGGGUUGUAAACCGCUUUCGCCUGUGACGAAGCGUGAGUGACGGUAAUGGGUAAAGAAGCACCGGCUAACUACGUG
rnacentral:rRNA from 1 species